UGGUGGAGUGAUUUGUCUGGUUAAUUCCGAUAACGAGCGAGACCUCAGCCUACUAAUUAGUUGUGGGAAUCUUCGGAUUCUAUUUUAUCACAGCUUCUUAGAGGGACUAUCGGUGUGUAGCCGAUGGAAGUUUGAGGCAAUAACA
rnacentral:rRNA from 1 species